AGUGAACGCUGGCGGUAGGCCUAACACAUGCAAGUCGAGCGGCAGCACAGUAAGAGCUUGCUCUUACGGGUGGCGAGUGGCGGACGGGUGAGGAAUACAUCGGAAUCUACUUUUUCGUGGGGGAUAACGUAGGAGAACUUACGCUAAUACCGCAUACGACCUACGGGUGAAAGCAGGGGAUCUUCGGACCUUGCGCGAUUGAAUGAGCCGAUGUCGGAUUAGCUAGUUGGCGGGGUAAAGGCCCACCAAGGCGACGAUCCGUAGCUGGUCUGAGAGGAUGAUCAGCCACACUGGAACUGAGACACGGUCCAGACUCCUGCGGGAGGCAGCAGUGGGGAAUAUUGGACAAUGGGCGCAAGCCUGAUCCAGCCAUACCGCGUGGGUGAAGAAGGCCUUCGGGUUGUAAAGCCCUUUUGUUGGGAAAGAAAAGCAGCAGGUUAAUACCCCGCUGUUCUGACGGUACCCAAAGAAUAAGCACCGGCUAACUUCGUG
rnacentral:rRNA from 1 species